CUGGGGAAAAAACGGGACCUACCCGAACGAACGGCGACAUCAACUGCACCACCGGGUAGACCCGACGUCAUCCGCGAUUGCGAAGAGGAGCAGGUUUUCGCGAACACACACAUACUGAACGGACGAACGGCGUAGGUCGGUUGGUCGUUGGAGCCGCGUACGAAACAGUCCACCGUGUCUGCGAAAAACGGCCGGAUGCUCCAAACCGGUAGUCUGGAAAUAGUUUAGUAGUCGCUUUCGCUGCAACCCGCAUGGGUAGAACGGACGGUCGCAAACAGUCGGCGAACGAGUCAGUCGCGUUGAUCUUGUGAAUUAAUGUCCAAGUGAAGCUAACUAACUUGAAACUUGAAAUCAAAUUGUUGAUGUUUUACAAAACUAGAACUCAAGUUUGUGAAAACCUCACAAUUGGUAAUGAAGUAGAGGAAAUAGUUCGUCAACUGCACUAAAACUGCAUCGUGAAUGCACAGCUGAUACCUUGAAGGUCAUGGUUUGAAAGAACCCAAUGCAAAUGAAAUCAGAAUUUCAAGACAAACAUACAAGUGAAGUUUAUGAAGUGAGUGAGUGUUCUACAUCGAAAAUUUGUGUCCAAUAGUUGGCUCUGUGUAAUAGAGUUGAUGUGUAUUAAUCUAAGUGUUUUAGUAUUAUCAAACCGUAGCAUUGAAUCUCUAGUGAAAGUGGAUCUCCGUGUAAAAGCAGAUAAUUGACAGAUCUUGGCUGGCGGUUGUCCAAGUGAGAGAGGCAUUUUUAAGUCCGUCAACAAGCGCGCGGUACAAAAUCGGCCUCAACAGCCAUAACAGACUUGUUUACAAAUCGGACUUCACAACAGGAAACUUAUUUUGUGUGAUUAUGCGAUAUUAUCAGCGUAAUUAAGGAUAUAAUUAACUUAAAAGGAUAAUACACAUCCACCGGGCAAGGGAGAGCUUUUACCAGACGUUUGGAGAAAUUCCGCAUCAUUCGGCCAGCCAUCUCUGCGGGUGCGUGUCGGGCAGCUAAGGAAAAAGAGAACGUCGUCGAUCACGCUUCCAGCAACCGAAAGAGGC